GACGAACGCUGGCGGCGUGCUUAACACAUGCAAGUCGAACGGAAAGGCCCUGCUUUUGUGGGGUGCUCGAGUGGCGAACGGGUGAGUAACACGUGAGUAACCUGCCCUUGACUUUGGGAUAACUUCAGGAAACUGGGGCUAAUACCGGAUAGGAGCUCCUGCUGCAUGGUGGGGGUUGGAAAGUUUCGGCGGUUGGGGAUGGACUCGCGGCUUAUCAGCUUGUUGGUGGGGUAGUGGCUUACCAAGGCUUUGACGGGUAGCCGGCCUGAGAGGGUGACCGGCCACAUUGGGACUGAGAUACGGCCCAGACUCCGACGGGAGGCAGCAGUGGGGAAUAUUGCACAAUGGGCGGAAGCCUGAUGCAGCAACGCCGCGUGCGGGAUGACGGCCUUCGGGUUGUAAACCGCUUUCGCCUGUGACGAAGCGGGAGUGACGGUAAUGGGUAAAGAAGCACCGGCUAACUACGUG
rnacentral:rRNA from 1 species